rfam:Gossypium hirsutum cultivar TM-1 chromosome 10, whole genome shotgun sequence
AUCCCAUGAUAAGGACACUUACGAAGUAAUUCCUUAAAUCUUUCCCAAGCCUCGUACAAAGACUCGUCAUCCAAUUGCUAGAAAGUUGUUAUCUCAUUAUGCAAUU